AACACACACACACACACACACACGAAUACAGUAUUGCUAUUGGGUUGGCUUCAGGCUUCUCUUAAAGUUUUGCCCAUGUGGGUGUGGAGUUAUAAAUACUGGGCAGUGAUGAAAUCACUCAUUUUAGUUUAAAAAAUUUUGAAAAAUGAAAAUGGGCAAAUGAAUGAGAGAGAGAGAGAUGAACAUGGGGGUAUGUUUCCAGUCUCCUAUACAAGGACUGAAACUUUAGCUUUUGUGCUAAUUUUAUAGGGGCAAAAUGGUACUGGUCUCUGUUAUUCUUUACUUUGGCUAUGAGGACAGAUAGGAAUUACACUUGAUUCUGGUUUUCCAAUGUUCUUUGCUUUGGAGGGUCUCUUUCUCACUUCCCUAGAUGUUCUUCGUGUCAGCUGAGGUUUUUGUUUUUGAUCCUUCACCACCAUUAACAAGCUAAA
rnacentral:misc_RNA from 1 species